CCUACGGGUGGCUGCAGUGGGGAAUAUUGGACAAUGGGCGAAAGCCUGAUCCAGCCAUGCCGCGUGUGUGAAGAAGGCCUUCGGGUUGUAAAGCACUUUCAGUGGGGAAGAAAGCCUUGGGGCUAAUACCCUCGAGGAAGGACAUCACCCACAGAAGAAGCACCGGCUAACUCCGUGCCAGCAGCCGCGGUAAUACGGAGGGUGCGGGCGUUAAUCGGAAUUACUGGGCGUAAAGCGCGCGUAGGCGGUCUGAUAAGCCGGUUGUGAAAGCCCCGGGCUCAACCUGGGAACGGCAUCCGGAACUGUCAGGCUAGAGUGCAGGAGAGGAAGGUAGAAUUCCCGGUGUAGCGGUGAAAUGCGUAGAGAUCGGGAGGAAUACCAGUGGCGAAGGCGGCCUUCUGGACUGACACUGACGCUGAGGUGCGAAAGCGUGGGUAGCAAACAGGAUUAGAUACCCGGGUAGUC
rnacentral:rRNA from 1 species